UGUAAUAUAGCUUAACAAAAGCACUUUAUUGAAGAUAAAAUUAUCGUACACCCUUUCAU
rnacentral:tRNA from 1 species